UGACUCCCUUCCGGUGAGCCUCCUGGCCCCGUGCGCCGCCCCUCUCCCUCCCCAAGCCGCCCCUUCUCUUUCCCCCACCUUCGGUCCCAAGUCCAUGGCCGGCCGUGCCUGUUCCCGUGCGUGCGUGCCUGUGUUGUGUACUGUUGGUGCGUGGGGGGCUUCAUUGGAGAAGAAGAAGGAAGUGUAGGGGGUUAAGGGGAAGUUUCAGGGAUGUUUGCGCAUUUAACCCGUAGACCCAGGGGGUAGAUCGUAAGAUCAUCUCGGUUUUGUUUGUUCUCUGGAUCUAAAACGGCUGAAAGUUUAAAAAUUCAUAGUAAAUUGUAGAAAAAACGUAAAAUAUCAAAUGAGGACUUUUUGGAAUCCUUGAGAGAAUAAUUACACAGUAGAGUUAUAAUAUAAUAUAUUUUAGUAGAAAGUUUCUGAUGUUUUUAUUUAUUCUUUCAAAGUGCUUUUAGAAAUCCUUUUAAGUUGUUAGAUGCACAUCUUGAGUUAUAGAAGUCCAAAACUUGUGAUUCCAGUUGUGUUGGUCUUGUGAUGACACCCUCUAGCUAAGAAAAAUAUUAAACAUGCUAGUUGUGUACUGUUUUUAACAUGUUUUGAUUUAAUCUUGAUAAAUAGGCAAAUUCUAGCUUGCCGUGCUUAUCAUUUUCAUAUCUAAAGUUGUGGCGCUCCAAUUUCUGUGAAAUUUUUAUGGUAGGCUAUAAAUGAUGCUCUUGAGCUGUGGUAAAAAUGUCAUUGAUUGGUGCAUGUAUGACUGAGUUAUUGUUUUAACCUGUUUAUUGCUUCAUAAAUGGUUUUAAAUAAGUUAUAACUUUCAUGUAGGUGUAAAAAUGGGAAAUGUGGUUCCACUACCUUUGUAUGAUGUUCUUCUACCCUAAUAACAUUUUAUAUGGCUAUGUGUUUAUAGAAAUGAUGAUCUUUAGAUUUAUCUUGCUUUUACAUGCUUUCUUGCAAGAGCAAUUUAUCUUUUUCGUAGCAACUAAAUUAUACCACUUGAGCAUGUGAGAUUUAUACAGUAGCCAUGUUUUGAUAACAUCUAUCAUCCAUAAAAAUCUCAGCUCCCAAUGAGAUGUUUUCCACAUCACCUAUAAUUAAUAUAUAUGCUUACUAUAUAAUUGGAUGAUGAAAGUUUGCUAGUAGAUGCAUAUACUUAGGUCAUGUGAAGCUUUUAAUCAUUAUUUUUGAGGGGUACAUAUGAUGCUAAGUUAUGAUAAGUAGUGGUUAAGCUUUGAAUAUGACUCAUAUGUAUGCUCUCAUGUUAAGAUAACAACUACUUAUAUAAGUUCUUCACCUUUGCUUUGAUUCUUGCUUAAGGUAUUUAGGGUGUUCCAUGUUACCUAAAGCUAAUGCUAAUUAACUAUGUUCAUAGUAUUUGUGAGCUAUGUGUUUAACUUAUGCAUAUGUUACCUUGUUAAAGAACUAAAUGAAGAACCUUGUUGCAUAUGUACUGAAAUGGCUGCUAGAGCAGUUCUGUUGUGGUAAUAUUUUCAUGAUGCAAAUGAUGUUUUCUAUAAAUAUGGUGAACACAAAAGUUGUAGGUAACUUCAUAAUAUAGCUUGUGUUAAAUGUUUAUGACCAUAAGCCUGAUGGUUUAGGAGCUAUAGAUUUUACAAGUUCAUUGUUAGAUUUUGCAUGCUCUAUGUAUAGGUCUGAAUGAUUGCAUUGUUUGACUUAACUAAGCUUUGAACCAUAUCUUGGAGACAAUAUAAUAAGUGUACUGGUUUUCAUAAGCUUUCCAAAUUAUUAUAGAUCACCCCUUUUGGUGGUCUAAAUCUCCGGUUAUGAGCUUGUGAAGUGGAAUGACAGAAUCUGUCCUAAUCUGGACAGAGAUGUCUUCUUUGUGACAUUUGACCUAGUUAACUUUAGUUUUAGCUUGUGGUGUUUACAAAAAAGUUGUGCAUGGUUUGUUAAGCUUUCUAAAAAGUCUAGAAUCACCUUGUUGUGAAAACUAGAACUCAACUUAUGGCUGUCUAAAGUUUAAUGUCACCAUCUGUCCAAGUUUGGACAGGUUUGCUUCUUUGUGUUGUGUAAUCUUGUUAACUGUUGAGUCACUAAAAGAUGAUAAGAUGAACGUUAUAGAUAACUUAAUAAGCUUUCUAUAAAGUUAAGGAUCAUGGUUGUUGGAGGUCUAGAACUCCAUUUAUGCAUCUCUGAAGUUCAUGUCGGUUUUCUGUCCUUGUUUGUACAGAUCUGCUCUUUGGUGUGUUUUCACCUUAUUAGUUGUUGAAUUAGUUUUUUGUGUGAAUAAUAAAGAUUUAGAUAAUUUCAUUAGCUUUACAGAAAGUCUAGGAUUACCCUUUUUGGAUGCUUAUAUCUCUAGAUUUGGUGUAUGUGCUUAAGUUAUUAGCUUUAACUUGGCAUUGCCUUAUAUGUUUGUUAGUUAGCUCAUAUCACUAUUAGAGUUAAAUUGAUCUACCUGAGAAUAUUAUAAAUGUGUUAUAUAAUGUUAGUCAAGCACUUAACUAAUAAAUGGUCAUGUAUACAUGUUGCUAUGAAAUAACCUUGCUGCAUAGCUUGCUAGAACCUUAGUGAUGUUGGUGUGUGACUUGCUUAUGUAUGAGUGGUUUAAAAACAAAUGUAAUAUACUUUGAUCACCUUCAACUUGUUGGUUGUGUGAUGCACUUAUAUAUGCCAUGUUGAUAAGCACCAUUACCCUAGUUCUUGUAUGAUGCUAGGCUUAAUUAGCUCUUGAUUGUUAAAUGCUUGCAAUAGCUUGACUUGAGUUAACUAGUGUGCCGUGCUUGUUAGGCUUGCUAUCUGUAUGGAGACUUGAGUGAUAGUUAGUUAAAGAACUUGCUCUCUAAGUGCUUAUAUCUUGUGGUGUAACCUUGUGCGUGUCCUGAAUGCUUUUGUGUGAUGCAUCUCUUUUUACCGUUCUUCGUAUUCAUGCUGUUGCAUCUUGCAUCUCAUCUAGAUACGCUAGAUAAACCACGUGAAGGACGUGAUGAUGGAACCGAACCCAAAGACAGUGUAUGGUGGAGCUAUCCCGAAGAUGGAAGGACUAAGCAUGUGCCGAGAUGGGAGAUGCUCACCAAGCGAGUGUCGUCUAACAAACACUAACCUAGUGUGGAUUUCAGGCAAGCCCCGGUGCAUGAAUUCCCUAUUUUAAAUUUAUGCCAAUUGUUGAUGCUUAUGAUUGUGAAUUUACGUUUGUAGGAUUUGAUUGAAAUCGUAGAUGCAUGAACUUAGUACCUUGAUCUGAAUACUAGUUGCUAAGGUCGAGUAGUUGCAAUGCUUAAUAGGUCUGGGUAAAAGUCGAGUGAUUUCCUGUCACUCGUGAGUUAUAGGAGUUGAAUAUUUUAUUUAUGUUGCAACUAUAAGGAUGACGGAUGGGGUCGGGCUUAUGUUCGAUACUUGGUGGAUUGCCCCGUCUGUCUAAAAGAAAUUGGACUAUGGUCGAAACGUGUCGGCGCUCGUGAUCAAGUGUUUGAAAGUACUAAUCUCAUACCUAGUAUGGGAUGGGGAAGCCUACUACCUGAUUGAACUAGGGCAUGUCAUACUCCCCCGGCUGUCCUUGGAACGUCAUUCCCAUGGUGCAUCAUGUGGGUUCAAGUGCGGUCAUGGUACGGCAGAGGCUGGGAUUAUGGAGCAUUGCAUGCCAAAGGCAGUUGGCCCUGACAUGUGCCUAAGGGAUCGAUGGGGACGGCUAACAAAUGAAGCGACCCUUCGUGGUGCACGGAUAUCGUGAGAAUAGGUUCGCCAUGCAUGGUUAAUAAAUUCGAAUCGAUUCGUCUACCUCUCACAAUUUGGGACUACUUGAUCGCUAUUCUGUACUGAGUAAAGAUGGAACAUGAUGAUGAUAUUAAUCUUGAUGCUUGUUCUUUAAUUGCUUGAAAACUAUGCUUGCUUAGUAUAAGUUGCUAAUCUAGACUGGUUAAUGAACUUAGAACUUGAGCUAAAAUAUUGAAAGUAAGGACCAACUUUAGUCGUUUUUGGCAAAAACAAACCCACCGCCAAAAAGCCUUGCAUGUCUAGGAGUCAGUGGAGUAGUUACCACCUGACGGGUAAGCCUUGUUGAGUAUUAGUAUACUCAGCCUUGCUCGUGGCUUGUUUUUCAGGUGUGGUUGCUGGUGUUGUCUUGUUCGGGACCCAUCCUUGGUCGGCGAGGACAGGGGUCAUUGAUGUCAUGAUCAGGCUUCGUCAUGAUAUCGUGUAUCGACGUUUAGCUUCCGCUUGUUUUACUUCUUCGUUGUUUGAAACCUUGCAAAUUCUAUUUGAAUUUUGAAAACUCUGAUGUAAUAAAAUGUUGAACUAUAUUUUUGUGAUGGGAAUGUUGUAAUCUUUGUGCCCACUCACUUUCAUGUGAGCAAUGCUUCUCGAUCCCGAGUAAGUGGUUUAUCGGAUGAAAUCCGACGGACGACCAAGUUGACCUGCUUAAAGUGCAUGAUCGCUUGUCAGGCGACUUAAGUGCAUUUUAGUCAGGUUAAUUUGGGUGGCUCUGCCAUAGCUUGUCACUUCCAUAGGAUAUCGGAACAUCCGGUGCUAUAGUGUUUCCUCUGCCUCCUCUGAGAAUUGCUCUGAUGCUUGUAGAAAUGUGACCAUCGAAACAUCCGAUGGUUAACUUUCACUUGACUUCAACGCUCCGGUGGAUACUCCGACACUCAUCUUGGGUACCAUCGGAACAUCCGAUUUGCACACUGAAGUGUCGUUGUCAAGAUCAGCGGAUCUAGACUUUAGACUAGUAAAUUUCUUUUAUGCGCGUGAGCCUCAGAUGGUUGCGCGGGAGACACGGAUUUAGACUGGUUCGGGCAAGGGAAGCCCUACGUCCAGUAUCGAGGAUGCUUGUGUUGCCCACGCGGGGGUUCUGUAGUAGGGGGUUACAGAUUGGCGAGAGAGGGAUAGGUCCCAAGUCUCUUUGGUUUUGGUGCUCUUUUUCGCCAGAGCAGUAGUGUACAAUGGUGUACUAGAGAAGAGGCUGGUUUUCUUUCCCCCACCCCUCCGGCUUUGGGUUCCUCCUUUUAUAUCGCAAGGGGACGGCCGGAGUUACAAUUGGGAUCGGGUAAAAGGUCUGUAAAGAGUAAAGAGUAAGAUGGUAAAAAGUACGACAGGGAGAAGGGGAGAGGUCUUUAGGCGCCCGAUGUCCUGCCGACCCUAAACGCGUGCCGUCGUGCAUGCCGGAGGGGGCGGUCGCUGGACGCCAAGUGUUGCUGCUCCCGCAGGUAGCUACUUUGAUGUUCGUAGGUACCAGGUCAGAUCAUGAUGAGGCGGCUUCGUCGUUACCCUAGCGUCCGUUAGGGUGGACGGUGGAUGCCGCUGCUCCGGUGAUGGCUGUUGAGAGGGGGAGCUUUACAUAUGUUCUGCUGUUCGCGCGGGACCCGAGGGCGUGCGGAACCCGAGGACGGGCUGCUUCCUCCUUUGCUACGGUCGUCGCAAGUCAUGAGUACCCUGCGGCGAAUGGGAGUCGGCCGCCGGCACUGUAGCCCGCAUAGGAUGGUCGUGCACGGGUACUUGAGCCGGGUUGCGUGGGGGGCGCGGUCGCCCUGCCCUCUGCCAUAACUGCGGCGCAUUUAUGACGAGGCCGACGGGGGGACCCACAGGAUUUGUCUUGUCUAUGCGGAUCGUAUCCGAGGGGGUUCCCGGACUUGUGGGCCCCAGUGCGCCCGACUCCUUCGCUCGGGGUCGGACGAGGCGGAACUUUCGUGGCACAGGGUCGGACGCCCCCGACCCUGGGGUCGUGGUCGGGCGAGGUGGUAACCUUGCGGAGGGGGGUCGGGCGCUCCCGAUCCUGGCGCCUGGGUCGGGCGUGGCGGAGAUUUGAUCAGGCUUCGGUGGGCCUGGGCCUUCAUGUUUGUUUCUUUAAGCAGCGUAUUAGGGGGGCCGUUAAUAUUUCCCCCCAACAUGAAGAUACCGUCAUUUGGAUGCUCUAGAAUUUUCUCUAUCAUUUAGAUGCUUCAAUACGAUAAAAUAAUCCUAGAUACCAUAACUUGGUCACUUGAAUAUCAUAACUUGGAUAUCAAGAAUACCAUGAUUUGGACCUUGCCAUGGUUUGGUUUGCAUACUUGGGGCUAGAAAAAUUUACAAGGCACAUGCUUAACAAACCAUUAGUCCCAAUAACUAUGUUGUCACUCAAUCAUCAAAAUCACAAACUGUAGCCUAAUAGGUCAUGUUCGCUACACCUUUCCACCAUACUGACAGCGGAAGCUUAGGUAUAGCGAUUCUCAUUGCAUGUUACUGUUUUUGGCUGCUCCUCGUACAUAGGAUGUAUUGUCCACGAAGAGCGUAAAUCUUCUGUACGGACUAAGUAGAGUAGAAUGAUUGAUGCUAAAUUGCGGAAUGUGCCUUGAUCAUCAAGGAGGCACUACUGUUACCUUGUGUUGGCGUGUAGUUGAACUUUCUAAAUUUGUGUUCUGCGUUUUUUUUCAUGAGCUUGUAUAUCUCGACAUGGUUCAUAAUUUUGUUAUUCAAUCCGUGCUGAAUUAAUCCUGUCAUAAUGUUUUCAACUACCUAUCGUCAAGGGUGGAUCUGGGGCCCGGGCUGGGGGCAGCAGCCCAGGUCUGCCUCCUAGCAACACUCAGGCCUUGUUUAGUUGGCCAAAUUGGGAGAUGCAAAAUUACUGUGCCAGCACUGUAGCACACUGUAGCGUUUCGUUUGUAUUUGUGAAUUAUUGUUCAAAUAUUGACUAAUUAGGCUUAAAAGAUUCGUCUCGCAAAGUACAACAAAACUGUGCAAUUAGUUUUUAAUUUCGUCUACAUUUAAUACUCCAUGCAUGUACCGCAAGUUUGAUGUGAUGGAAAUCUUCUUUUUGCAUAGUGUCAAAGUUGGGAGUUGGGAGGUAACUAAACAUGGCCUCAGUAGCCCGUGUACUUGCCAAUAGCCCAUGGAAGAUGGCUCAGCCUUUGCUGAACACAACACGAGCAACGCACAGCCGCACACACCUUACACCCAACACAAGCAACGCACAGCUGCACACAAGCAGCGCAUAAGAGCAUCUCCAAGAGACACGGUACUUGACUCGGUAAGUCUAAAUUUGGCACAGCAGCUAAAAUUUCGUGGUCCAACAGACUCGGUACUGGUCUGGCUAUCCCAUCUGGCUCGCUAUAGAAUUUUCGCCGCUGUCCAAACCUGGCGAUGGUCUUUGGCUCGGCAAAGCGUGGGCCCCAUGUGAACACUCUAUCUAUCCCCCAAUCCACUCGCGCACCGGCUCCCCAUCAUCGCCGAAAUGGCAUUGCCGCACCGCCAUCGAUCUCAUGCCGCCACGUAGCAAGCCCCGUCCCUCCGGUGACGGAGGCGGCCUAGCCCCGGCCCCCUCCAGCGCCGCCGCUGGCCCGGUCUCCCUCCACUGAUUGUGUUCCUCUUGCUUCAACUACAUGUUCUUGGUGCUUUACAUGUUCUGAACUCUGGUAGUCUAGUGGUAGUCCUUUACAUGUUCCGAACUCGUUAGGUAGCAUGGUAAUUUGCUAAUUUUCCAACUGAUUAGUAUGACUGCUGUACUGAUUUCUAUUUGGUUUAGAGAGGGAACAUUGACAAUUCCUGUGAUUGGUCUGUGCAUGGAUGAUGGACAACACCUGAAUUGAGAGCCAAAAAUAGAGAGGUUGUUGGAGAUGCUCUAAGAUGGCUGGACUAGGAGAUAUGUAUGAU
rnacentral:lncRNA from 1 species